rnacentral:rRNA from 1 species
AUUGAACGCUGGCGGCAGGCCUAACACAUGCAAGUCGAGCGGAUGAAGGGAGCUUGCUCCUGGAUUCAGCGGCGGACGGGUGAGUAAUGCCUAGGAAUCUGCCUGGUAGUGGGGGAUAACGUCCGGAAACGGGCGCUAAUACCGCAUACGUCCUGAGGGAGAAAGUGGGGGAUCUUCGGACCUCACGCUAUCAGAUGAGCCUAGGUCGGAUUAGCUAGUUGGUGGGGUAAAGGCCUACCAAGGCGACGAUCGGUAACUGGUCUGAGAGGAUGAUCAGUCACACUGGAACUGAGACACGGUCCAGACUCCUACGGGAGGCAGCAGUGGGGAAUAUUGGACAAUGGGCGAAAGCCUGAUCCAGCCAUGCCGCGUGUAUGAAGAAGGUCUUCGGAUUGUAAAGCACUUUAAGUUGGGAGGAAGGGCAGUAAGUUAAUACCUUGCUGUUUUGACGUUACCAACAGAAUAAGCACCGGCUAACUUCGUG